CCUACGGGUGACAGCAGUGGGGGAUAUUGCACAAUGGGGGAAACCCUGAUGCAGCGACGCCGCGUGAGUGAAGAAGUAAUUCGUUGUGUAAAGCUCUAUCAGCAGGGAAGAAAAUGACGGUACCUGAGUAAGAAGCCCCGGCUAACUACGUGCCAGCAGCCGCGGUAAUACGUAGGGGGCAAGCGUUAUCCGGAUUUACUGGGUGUAAAGGGAGCGUAGACGGCAGUGCAAGUCUGGAGUGAAAGGCGGGGGCCCAACCCCCGGACUGCUCUGGAAACUGUACGGCUGGAGUGCAGGAGAGGUAAGUGGAAUUCCUAGUGGAGCGGUGAAAUGCGUAGAUAUUAGGAGGAACACCAGUGGCGAAGGCGGCUUACUGGACUGUAACUGACGUUGAGGCUCGAAGGCGUGGGGAGCAAACAGGAUUAGAUACCCCUGUAGUC
rnacentral:rRNA from 1 species